AUUCGCAAUGGGUCCCCGUAACAAGUCGGAAAAUGCAUAUAUUAUCUAUAUAAUGGUGUUCCUUUUACUCGAUUAGGUACAAUACUUUUUAAAUCAUUGAAAUCGGUAAAUUGGUUGCGAAGAUAUUACACAUUUUGUACAAGCCAACCGCGGCGCGGCCGAAAUGCUCAUGUGACGUCACGAUUUCCCUACGGACCGCGCGCUCGCUCUUCGCCAUUCAUUUAUUAAAGUUCACUCGAUCUGCGCGGGUCGUGAUGUGGUUUUGUGGUUUUUAUGUGAAAAUAUGCCGCAUUAUAAGUACUGUAUAGUACCGAAAUGUACUAAUACUUCAACUAGUACACCUGAAAAACUGUUUUUUAAUGUGCCAAGGGACCUGAAAGUGCGCAAAAAAUGGUGUACUGUCAUGAAGAGGGGUGACAGUACACCUUACAUUACUCAUGUGGUAAACAGUAUCUUAGUAAAACUUGUUUACGAAUGUUAAAGAAAAAUACAGGGUCGUACUAGGUGUAUUUCAAUGAAUAAAUAAAUGAUAAAAAGUCGACUGUCUCCUGUAUGGAUGCCCCGAAAAUCUGUUCAACUAAAACACCAUCAGUCUUGCAGUUUGCAGUUUCGUGAAUUUUUGACGCCGUUACUCUGCAGUAUCUUAGUUCCCUCCAUAAUGGUGAAUCAGCUUGCGAUAAUGUUGCUUCUUCUGCUUUGCUACAGUCAUCUAUAGUCAUCCGACUUGAGCAGAAGAUUAUUUCAUUCUCAUUAGGAUUGCUUGUUCAAACAAUCCAAGGUAAACGAAUAAAGUAUACCUACCGA